rnacentral:rRNA from 1 species
UACGUAGGGUGCGAGCGUUGUCCGGAAUUAUUGGGCGUAAAGAGCUCGUAGGCGGCUUGUUACGUCGUUCGUGAAAACCUGCAGCUCAACUGCAGGCUUGCGGUCGAUACGGGCAGGCUAGAGUUCGGUAGGGGAGACUGGAAUUCCUGGUGUAGCAGUGAAAUGCGUAGAUAUCAGGAGGAAUACCGAUGGCGAAGGCAGGUCUCUGGGCUGACACUGACGCUCAUGCACGAAAGCGUGGGGAGCAAACAGG